rnacentral:rRNA from 1 species
UACAUGGGGUGCAAACGUUGCUCGGAAUUAUUGGGCGUAAAGCGCACGUAGGCGGUCUACUAAGUCGGACGUGAAAGCCCUCGGCUCAACCGAGGAAGUGCAUCCGAAACUGGCAGGCUAGAGUACGAAAGAGGGUCGCGGAAUUCCCGGUGUAGAGGUGAAAUUCGUAGAUAUCGGGAGGAACACCGGUGGCGAAGGCGGCGAUCUGGGUCGAUACUGACGCUGAGGUGCGAAAGCCAGGGGAGCAAACGGG